CGGUAAUACAGAGGGUGCGAGCGUUGUUCGGAAUUAUUGGGCGUAAAGUGCGUGUAGGCUGUUUAAAAAGUCUUCGGUGAAAUGCUAGAGCUUAACUUUAGCGCUGCUGAAGAUACUUUUUAACUAGAGAUCGGGAGAGGUAAGUGGAAUUCCUAGUGGAGAGGUCAAAUUCAUAGAUAUUAGGAGGAACACCAGAGGCGAAGGCGACUUACUGGAACGAUUCUGACGCUGAGACGCGAAAGCGUGGGGAGCAAACGGGAUUAGAUACCCCGGUAGUCCACGCCGUAAACGAUGGGGGCUAGAUGUUGGUUUACACCAGUAUCGUAGCAAACGCAAUAAGCCCCCCGCCUGGGGAGUAUAGUCGCAAGACCGAAACUCAAAG
rnacentral:rRNA from 1 species